AUUGAACGCUGGCGGUAUGCUUAACACAUGCAAGUCGAACGAUGAGAGAGAGCUUGCUCUUUCGAUUAGUGGCGGACGGGUGCGUAACGCGUAGGAAUCUACCUAUUAGUGGGGGACAACUUAGGGAAACUUAAGCUAAUACCGCAUACGCCCUACGGGGGAAAGAAGGGGAUCGCAAGACCUUUUGCUAAUAGAUGAGCCUGCGUAGGAUUAGCUAGUUGGUGGGGUAAAAGCUCACCAAGGCGACGAUCCUUAACUGGUUUGAGAGAAUGAUCAGUCACACUGGAACUGAGACACGGUCCAGACUCCUACGGGAGGCAGCAGUGGGGAAUAUUGGACAAUGGGCGAAAGCCUGAUCCAGCAAUACCGCGUGUGUGAAGAAGGCCUUAGGGUUGUAAAGCACUUUCAAUUGGAAGGAAAACCUCGAAGCUAAUACCUUCGAGUUUGACAUUACCUUUAGAAGAAGCACCGGCUAACUCCGUGCCAGCCGCCGCAGUAAGAC
rnacentral:rRNA from 1 species